rnacentral:lncRNA from 1 species
ACCACGAUGGGUAUACGGCUGCGGACCUGGCUGAUUUCAAUGGCCACACCCACUGCUCCCGCUACCUACGUACGGUGCAAACCCUGAGCUUGGAACACCGAGUCCUGUCCCGGGAUCCAUCCAUGGACCUGGAGGCAAAGCAGCCGGACUCAGGCAUGUCUUCACCCAACACCACCAUGUCGGUCCAGCCGCCGAACUUUGACCUUGGCUCACCCACCAGCACCCUCUCCAACUAUGACUCCUGCUCCUCCAGCCAUUCCAGCAGCAAGGGUCAGCGCUCUACUCGAGGGGUUCCAGGUGCCAGAUCCUCAGACUUACAGAGCUACAUGGACAUGCUGAACCCAGAGCCUCGGAGCAAGCAAGGGAAGCCUUCAUCUCUACCACCACCGCCACCACCAAGCUUCCCUCCACCACCACCCCCAG